rnacentral:rRNA from 1 species
AAUGAACGCUGGCGGCAGGCCUAACACAUGCAAGUCGAGCGAGGACUUCGGUCCUAGCGGCGGACGGGUGAGUAACGCGUGGGAAUAUGCCCUUUGGUACGGAAUAGCCUCGGGAAACUGGGAGUAAUACCGUAUGUGCCCUUCGGGGGAAGAUUUAUCGCCAAAGGAUUAGCCCGCGUUGGAUUAGGUAGUUGGUGGGGUAAUGGCCUACCAAGCCGACGAUCCAUAGCUGGUUUGAGAGGAUGAUCAGCCACACUGGGACUGAGACACGGCCCAGACUCCUACGGGAGGCAGCAGUGGGGAAUCUUAGACAAUGGGCGCAAGCCUGAUCUAGCCAUGCCGCGUGAUCGAUGAAGGCCUUAGGGUUGUAAAGAUCUUUCAGAUGGGAAGAUAAUGACUGUACCAUCAGAAGAAGCCCCGGCUAACUCCGUGCCAGCAGCCGCG